rnacentral:lncRNA from 10 species
GUUUUCUUCAUCUGGAAGCAUAAAAGGGCUAACUUACAUGUUUCUGUACUUUUCUCUCAAAGGCCCACAAGGAAGUUUGCUAUUUCUGCCAGCUGCAACUUAUAUGGGCUUCUCAAAGAAUCCAGCAAGGCUCUGACAGAGGCAGACAGAAAGGAGGCAAAGGAGAGGAGGAGCAAUUUUCUACAUCAAAGCUAUUGAACAUACCAUUUAAAAUAACAAGUUAAGCUUUUGAACAACACAUGAAGAGACGAUUUGCAAGAGGAGCCUGAAUGUCAAAAUUAACCCAGCGGGAUUCCUGGACGGAAAGCUCAUGCAAGCCUGCGUGUCCUCAAGGAGGGGACUCUCUCUCCCUCACUCCCUUCCCCACCACUCUCAGCAUCUUAAAAAACCAACACUAUUUUAAUGCAGCUGAGAGCUAAUUUUAAUGUUUUAUUAGCUCAAGUGUAAAAAAAAAUCAAAGAAAAGAUAAAACAAAAUGAAAGCUAAGCAAUGAUAUAUGAGGAUAGUUUAAAAAAAUUGCCCAAAAAAUUAUUUCCUUUCACCCCAAAAUGUCUAAUCAUGUCAAUAGUGCAGAAAAUAAGGGGACAUUUGCUAUUUAAUGGCGGUGAAGACAAAAUAUUAUUUAGUGUAGUAGCUCCUCCUUCCCUUCAGGUGGCCUGGCAUCCACUAUAAAUAUUGGAGAAGAAAUCUCAUUAUGGCCUCUGUCCACUUAUGGAGAAUGUUUGAAAGAGGAGACAGAGGAGAGAGAACACCAGGGAGAAACAGAACAAGUGAAAAUUUUCUGGUAAUAAUCAACAGGCUUGCCAGAACAAGAAUAGCUAAUUCUGAGUGUUAACAGGUCUUACAGUGCAAUCACAACUCUCUCCAAUUUCCCUCUAUCUUAUACAGAGCUUUGUAGAGGGAAGAUAUUGAGAAAACAUUUUGUGCAGGUCAAUACUAUAGAGAAAAGGUAGAUUAGUUAUUAACAGAUAUUAUUAGUUCAGCUCAAGAAAUUCAGGGCCAAGAAUGGCCAGGAAAUAUGUCAGAUUUCUCAACGUAUCAGAGAUUUUCUUGCAUGCACAAGUACAACCAGAAUUGCUAUAAUAUUUGGAAUGCAGGUUAUAGUGAUAUUUCUUCAGGUUUUAAACAAAUACCUUUAGAAAUAUCUAGAAUUCUCAUUCUAAAUGAGAAUUACUUAUGUCAAACCCAGUUUUGCAAUAAUUCUAGAUGUUGCUUACAUCUGUGUUACAUCUGUAAUACCUGUAACAGAGAUAUUCCUUUAUAACUUGUGUUUUCUAAGCCAUAUAAUCUUGUUGGUAGAGAUAAGAAAAUAACAAAAACUCCUACCAGAUUUUUUUUUGUUUCAUAUCCACUAAAUUUGCUGCAAGUUCAGUCUCAAUAAAUCCUUCCCAUAUAGCUCUGUAUAGGGUGUGGAAUGGGAUGGGUUAGAAAGAGAUGAGAUGAAACAGGGUGAG